rnacentral:lncRNA from 1 species
GCGGCAUAUGGAAGUUCCCCGGCUAGGGGUAGAAUCGGAGCUGCAGCCGCCUGGCUACACCAUAGCCACAGCAACGCCAGAUCUGAGACAUGUGUGCAACCCACACCACAGCUCAAGGCAAUGCUGGAUCCUUAACCCACUGAGCAGUGCCAGGGAUUUAACCUCUAUCCUCCUGGAUACUAGUCAGGUUCGUUACUAGCAGGAACUCCCCACGAUACAUUUCUGAUGAGUAACUGCACGAAUAACUAGUUAUUAAGUUAGAGUUACUUCAUGCAUUUAAUUGAAGAAGUGAAGCCUGAAGAAAUUACUUUUUUUAAAGUAAAGAACAUAUUAUAAGAUAAUGUUAAUUCUGUGUGAGUAUAGCUACCAGUUGCCUCAUACCCUAGCAUAUUUAUAACUCUUGUCAUACUUAUUUCUUCUGCUUCCUUCUGAAUAUUUUGAUUUUUCUCCUUGAACCCCUUUCAGCCUUCUGAUGUUUCAUCUAAUUUUCAAGUUCUGUUGUAUUACUUUUUCUCCCUUCAUUUUUGCUUCUGAGACUUAGCUCCUGUGUUUUCUUUUGAUGUAAAGAAUAAUAAUAAGCUUCUGGUUGAAUAUUUUUCAAGUUUAUUAAUAUGUAUUAUUCCUUUUGUUACUAUUUUUUCAGUUGUUCCUUAGAAUUUACUUUAGUAGCUGCCUUCUAGCAGGCAUAGAAAGAGAAGGGAGAGUUACCCAGGCUUUGAACUGAGAACAAGUAGAUGGGAGAAAAAUAGCAUUAAACUUAUUACUAAAUUGAAUUAUUACAUUUUUCGAUAAUUUAUUCCUUGUCCUCUACAAUAUCAAGACUAUUAAAAGCCAUGUUCAAAUGAAAAGAAGAUUUAAAAAUAAUCCUAAAUUAGCAGAAAGAGCAGUAGGAGAAAUGGAUCUUUAUAGCGAGGAUGGACUCAGAACAUGGCACUGCUUUUUGAAGGAGACGGUCAACAUCCUUUGCGAACAAGGAGCAAUUAAAGAGCAAGUUUGGCCUCGAGGAGGGAAAUAACGGGGACUUAGGACACUCAAGGAUGCUUCAGGUUUCUUGAAAACAGUUACCAUAAAAAAUUAGAAAAUAAAUGAUAAAUAUGAGGAAGGCAUACAUCCAAGAUGAUGUUACUAAGAAAAUCAUUUUAACAUCACUCUACAGAUAUCUGUUUGGGUAAAACAAAUAAUAGAUGGAGAGAAUGUUAAUGCAUCUGAAAGAAAUUUGUCGAGAUCCUUUAGUUGGACUUACUGUCUAGUUUUGUUUUAAGUAACAGUGAUGAAAACUUGGGUUUAACUUGAUGUAUAUUUAAACAAAACUGUCUCAUGUUUUCAGAUAAAGAAGAAACAUAUGAGAAAUAUAUAUUCUUUGUGUUUUGUCUCAACAUCCUUUGAUUUAUUCACUUAUCCAUUCAAUCAUUUGCUGUAUCCCUACUAUGUGCCAGACACUAGAAGAAAUGACUCAAGGAAUUCCCGAGGUUGCAGUUUCGAUCGCUGGGCUCACUCAGUGGCUUAAGGAUCCAGUGGCAUUGCCUUGAACUUUGGUGUAGGUUGCAGACGCUUCUCGGAUCCUACGUUGCUGUGGUGUGUGUAGGCUGGCAGCUGUAGCUCUGAUUAGACUCCUAGCCAAGGAAUCUGCAUAUGCUGUGGGUGUGGCCCUAAAAAGCAAAAAAAAAGAAAAGAAAGAAAUAAAAGAAAAAGAAAUGACUCAAGACUAAGACCUUAACAAAAUAAUAGUAAGCCUCAAGAACUUACUCUAGAAUGAAUUAGGAUUUUCUAAAGGGCAGCAUAUUAAGUCAUGAUUCUAUAGAUAAGCUAUUUUAAGAAAACUUCUGAAUGUUUGGUGAGGAAAAUCAUGUUAAUUUCCCUCACUGAAUCAUGGCUGCUUUGAUGAUUAAUUAUCUUUAUUAUCCCUGUGUAUGUUUCGAUUAAGCUGUAGACUCCUUGAGGGUAACAAAUGUGUUUUAUACCAUAAAAAACAAAACGAAACAAAACAAAAAACCUGGCACACUUUCUGGGAAGCAGUAAAGGUUAACAUUUGUUUGUUAAAUAAGAAAGUCCAAGUUGGACAGGUUAUUGGUUAGGAAACAAGUUGCGGCUUAGUCCUUUUUAAAAGGUGUAGCAAUUGCCCAUUUGCCUUUUUCACAGACCCAUCAUGAAAAGGCUACAGAACAUCAAUGUACCCUUAAUUCUGUAGAAACCCUGUAAUACUGUGAUGUAACCCAUAAGCAGAGCAAAAAGCACUGCAGUUUAAAAAAAUGGACCAUAAGAAUUAUUUUAAUAAUUACAUCUAAACUUUGAUAUUAAAUCUUUAAAGCACUAUAGGCAAGAGUAUAAUAAAGUUAAAGGGGUUUUGAUUGAAGAGAUUAAAACUAUAAGCAUACCACGUUAUCCCAAAUAUUGGGGGAAUAACGCACUGAGAACAAAUAUGUAUUUUUAAGAAUACAAAUAUUUUCUAUAUUAUCUCCAGAUUUCACAACUUCUCACUAAAGUAUUUUCUCCUAAUACUGAUUUAUGGAAUAGACAAUAAUGUAAAUGGCUUUAAAAAUAACAAGAGUAAGAUUUUAAAAGAUGAUAAAAAUAUUCUCAUGUUUGUUGCAGUGCAGAGAUAUUUUUGCUGAUAAAAGGGGUGAUUUACCGUAAGAUGAUUUUCAGUCUUUGCUAAUUUGUAGAAUAAAUGAUGUGGCUUUUACAGUCUUGCAGCCUUUCAUUUAUCAGCCCAAGAAGCUAAUGAAAGUUUGCCUAAACUCUUCCCUGUUAAAUGGACAGAUUUCAACUUUUCUCAUAUUAAUUUAGAUUAGAUGACUUUUGUCCUUGCCUGAAGUGACAGUGUCAAUGUCUGGAGUUUACAUCUUUCAUGACUAUCAGCUAAUUAGAAUGCAGGGCAGCUUUAAAGGUCUCAUCUCUACUCUGCCAUUCUGGAUUACAUGCACUGCUAGCACUCCUGUCAGUCUCCACAGGGCUCCGAGCUACAUUUCCCAAAACCUAUGAUAAGCAUAAUUUCCAUGAGAAUCAACAGUAGGAGGUAAAAAAGCCACCUUUUUAUAUUUCAGAAUAUAAAGUAAAUCUGAUAAUCAUACCGCUGUAAAGUCCUCACUCCAUUGCCACUGAACAGAUACCAUCUUUCUUAGAACUGAAAGAUCGUCAGAGAAGCAGGCCUGCUGUUUCUUGUUUACAUGCAUGUGUAGAACGAGGAAUUGUGUGUUUUGGAGAGAAGGGUUUUUUUAGCGAUUUCUUCUGAGUCCUGGGAAGAUACUGCGUUUAUUUGUGGCCCUCUUCUCUAGCUCUUGAUUCUUCCUCUUUCAUCCUGGCUUUCCCAGUCCUCAUCAGAAGGGCGAGUGCCACAAGGGGAUUCUUUUCUUUCCGUCUUCUCAUUCCAGCCUUCCCCUGUAGAUCUUCCUCCAGACUUUACACACCGCCCCCUUGGUUUUCCUCACGACAUUCACCCUUUUCAUUGACCUUGAUGCUGGAGAGAUGUUACUGUCAUCUGAGUUCUCGUUCAUGUAGCUGAAGAUUGAACUCCUCGAACACACAGGCAGCAAGCAAGCAACGUCUUUAGUACAGGGAAGAAAAUAGCUCCCAGGGCUGCUGGAGGGGGAAGAGCCCCCCUUCUCUAUUGUCUUAUAGGGGUUUUUAUCCCUUAAAGAUGGGGGUGGGUACCAACGUGGGGUCCAGAAAAAUGUGGUUUUCUCCCAUUGGCCUUUCUCAGUUUCUCAAUUAUCUAUAUCAGUCCUAGUCCAAUAGGGGUCUUAGGAGUGGAAAUGUCCCGUAAUGGUUUCUUUGCCCUUUUCUUCCUGUAAACUGAGUCACAGGGGAUUAGGGAUUAUUGUCCCUCUGGGUGUAGGUACAUUCCCUGUAGUAAACAGGGCCUGUGGGGAUGUUACUUCCUGGAGCCCUUAAGCCACAAAUGUUAAUCAAUAGCCAUGUCAAAGAAUGCUUGGAAGCCUGUGCUCCUAGGCUCACUACCUGAGUUAAUAUUCUGCCUCAAUUUUUGUCUACCAUUCUUUUUUUUUUUUCUUUUGUCUUUUUAGGGUCGCACCCACAGCAUAUGGAGGUUCCCAGGCUGGGGGUCUAAUUGGAGCUGCCAGCCUACACCACAGCCACAGCAACGCCCAAUCCAAGCCUCAUCUGCGACCUACACCACAGCUUAUGGCAACACCGGAUCCUUUAACCUACUGACUGAGGCCAGGGAUGGAACCCGCAACCUCAUGGUUCCUAGUCGGAUUCGUUACCUACUGUGCCACGACAGGAACUCCCAUCUACCAACUUCUUAUUUCACUGGAGUUUAUUAGAAAAUCCAGGUUGUUAGUGAAGCUUAUUUGAAAGCCUCCCUCCAAACCUUUGAUUGGACGGACUGCUUAUUCUUCUACCUUGUGUCUCUGAAACUGGGGUCAGUAUUUUCUAGAGCGUUUUACUUCCAAAACAUGAACAGAAACCUCUCUGUCCUUUAGAUGCCCGAGAUCAUAACACUUUUCAGUAGUCUUAGGUCUUUCCUCUUCAGAGAUAUAACAAAUGUAAUACUUGGCUGUCCGUUUUUCUCUGGACUCAAACUGUCUUCAUUUUGUGUGACUUAAAUGUCUACAGGGAGGACCCACUGUAACCGAGCUAGUGCCCUGAGGGACUCCUAGGCACACAAACCUUUCUGUGUCCUCCCUUGCUUGUUUUUAGGGAAUAAGCCUCAGACUCCAUGACCUUCCCUGAGUUCCAAAGGGCAGGUUCAAACAGUUGCCAAUCAGGGAAGGGAGGGGAUGCAGAAACCAGAGAGGAACAAUCUAGAAACAAUAGUGUAACUUUUUUGAGCUGGGUCUUGGUCCCUCCUCAAGGAACAGGGAUAGCAAAAUCUUUGAAUUCUUCUACAGAAGUAAUCCCCCAGAGUUCCUGUCGUGGCACAGUAGAAGCGAAUCCGACUAGGAACCAUGAGGUUGCAGGUUCGAUCCCUCCCCUUGCCCAGUGGGCUAAGGAUCCAGCGUUGCUGUGAGCUGUAGUGUAUGUUACAGAUGCGGCUGGGAUCUGGUGUUGCUGUGGCUCUGGCAUAGGCCAGUAGCUACAGCUCCAAUUAGAUCCCUAGCCUGGGAACCUCCAUGUGCCGCAGAUGUGGCCCUAAAAAGACAAAAGGUUAAAAAAAAAAAAAAAAAA